AUUGAACGCUGGCGGCAUGCUUUACACAUGCAAGUCGAACGGUAACAGGCCGCAAGUUGCUGACGAGUGGCGAACGGGUGGGUAAUGCAGCGGAACGUGGCCAGCCGUGGGGUAUAACUACUCGAAAGAGUAGCUAAUACCGCAUACGAUCUAUGGAUGAAAGCGGGGGACCGUAAGGCCUCGCGCGAUUGGAGCGGCCGAUGUCAGAUUAGGUAGUUGGUGGGGUAAAGGCUCACCAAGCCAACGAUCUGUAGCUGGUCUGAGAGGACGAGCAGCCACACUGGGACUGAGACACGGCCCAGACUCCUACGGGAGGCAGCAGUGGGGAAUUUUGGACAAUGGGCGCAAGCCUGAUCCAGCAAUGCCGCGUGCAGGAAGAAGGCCUUCGGGUUGUAAACUGCUUUUGUACGGAACGAAACGGCUCUGGUUAAUACCCGGGGCUAAUGACGGUACCGUAAGAAUAAGCACCGGCUAACUACGUG
rnacentral:rRNA from 1 species